GACGAACGCUGGCGGCGUGCUUAACACAUGCAAGUCGAACGGUAAAGUGGUUUGCUUUUUUGGGCCCUGGGUGAGUGGCGGACGGGUGAGUCACACGUGAGUAACCUGCCCCCUUCUUUUGGAUAACCGCAUGAAAGUUUAGCUCAUACUAGAUAUUCGGGGUCUGUCGUGUUAUUGGUUUGGGAAAGAUUGCUCCUGUGGGUGUUUUUGGUUGGUGAUGUGCUCGGGGCCUAUCAGCUUGGUGGGGGGGUGAUAGCCUAACCAGGUGGUGAGGGGUAGCGGGUCCGAGAGGGUGGACGGUCACACUGGGCAUGAGACACGGCGCAGAAUCCUACGGGAGGCAGCAGUGGGGGAUAUUGCACCAUGGGCGCAAGCCCGAUGCAGCGAAGGCGCGUGAGGGAUGGAGGCCUUCGGGUUGUAUACCUCUUUCGCCAGUGAAGAAGGAAUGCCCCUUGUCGGUGUGUUGACGGUAGCUGGAUAAGAAGCGACGGCUAACUACGUG
rnacentral:rRNA from 1 species